rnacentral:rRNA from 3 species
UACGAAGGGGGCUAGCGUUGUUCGGAAUUACUGGGCGUAAAGCGCACGUAGGCGGGUCGUUAAGUCAGGGGUGAAAUCCCGGAGCUCAACUCCGGAACUGCCUUUGAUACUGGCGAUCUUGAGAUCGGAAGAGGUGAGUGGAAUUCCCAGUGUAGAGGUGAAAUUCGUAGAUAUUGGGAAGAACACCAGUGGCGAAGGCGGCUCACUGGUCCGAUACUGACGCUGAGGUGCGAAAGCGUGGGGAGCAAACAGG